ensembl:lncRNA
AGGGGACGACAGAAGAUGAAAUGGUUGGAAGACAUCACCGACUCGAUGGACAUGAGUUUGAGUAAGCUCCGGGACUUGGUGAUGGGCAGGGUGGCCUGGCGUGCUGCAUGCAGUCCAUGGGGUCGCAAAGAGUAGGACACGACUGAGCGCCUGAACUGAAAUAAGUGAACGGUUGUAAGAAGCCUCAGCGUCCAACAGUCGGGGGUGUGAGGCAAGAAAGAAAUACGCAUGCUCGGGGAAUUCUGAAAAAUUACCGUUUGGAAGGGCAAGCCAGGCGGGCGUCCCAAUUUCACGUGACACCUCCCUUGUCCUCCUCCCUGCCGGAACGUUUUAGUCCCGGAACCUUGGCUCGCGGGUCCCAGCGCGAAGGCACUUCCGGUGCCCCUCCUCUCUAGCCAGCGAAGAGAACUGCCAACUCAGUUCCGGCAGAGAGCGCGGACAGAAGCGGAUCGUGGCCUUCUACCCUGGGGCCCUCCAGGCCCUCCGGCCUCUGGUCGGUAGGUGAACUGGGGGGCCCCGGGACAUUCUCGGGUGUGUUUUGUAGAGCGGUCGCCGAGGCCGGCAGUUGGCAGGGCCCAAGACUGGAAGCAGCCUCGAAACUCUCCCCCUGCCCCCACCCCCCACCUCCACGACCUAAUGGCGGCGGCCCCUCCGAACCAGGAUCCUGCCGACCGCUGGGUCUCUUCACCCAGACCUGCAGGGCUUGGGCUUAGGCGAAGCCUCCGCCUGGUCACCGAGAACGUGGCGCCUUUGGGCGUCGGGCGUGGCAGGACUAGAAGAAUGGCGGCCGCUCUGACUCCGCGGAGGGCCGUUAGAGCCUCGGAGGCCCGGGAAGGAUUGUGGACGCCAGCUCGUCCAUCCUUAGACCUUGGGGCCACGCGGAUCCGCGACCUGAGGUGGCCGCUCUGUCCCAGUUGGACGAGACCUCUCCUCGUCCGGGCAACGACGGACAAAGGCCUUAACGGGCCCGCAAGGUGAGCGGAGCCGCAGUUGACGGCGGGUGGAACGUUAGCGGGCCAGCGGGCGGUGAUCGUCGUUCUACCGAGACAUUGAUGUCGGAAGAUGGAAAUGGUAGAAUAACAUACCCCUUGUGGCCAACAGAAAGUGCCCGCCGUCCUCUGGGAAGAUUUACUGGCCGCUGAUAAAGGCCUGUGUAUAUAAUAUGAAAAAGCUGCUCUCAACUUUACCCCCAACCUUUCAAAAGAAAACUUUCGCUACAUCUAGGCCUCCUAGAUGUGAAGAGGUUGCCGACGUAUGAUAAAAUAGUUAGAAAAAUCGCGUCUUGUAAAUGCCCAUUUGUUUAAAAAAAGAAAACUAUAGAAAAGAAAUGUCUUCUGGAAAUGACUUUUCGAAAUGGAGUUGUUUGAUUACCUCUAGAAGCAACUUCCGGAGCCACUGAAGUCCCCGUUUGUUCAGUGGGUUGGACGACGUCGAAUAGAAGACCUUGAGGAGGAAGAAUAGAAAGUGCUAUGUCAGACUGGUCAUACUUAGAAGACAUUUCUAUAUAACCAUUUUUUAGUGUGUGCAUUUUAUUCCUCACUACUGUAUAUAUAGUUGAGAAUAAGUACUUUUUGGAAAUACCUAGUCUUUCUAGAUGUUCUGAAGUGCCUGAUAUAUGUUAAAAGUCGAGGUAGUAAAAAGACAUUUUGUAAAUACCUUUUAAAAUUCAUAUGAAAUGAUGUUGGGGAGCGGGGGCGGGGUGGGACGGGGGGAGGAUUGGCCAGAUCACUUUCUGGAGCAGUACACUUUGUGUUUUGUGCACUGGUUCAGUGUCGGGAGAGGGGAGAGAAGUGCAGAUCUCUGUGCCAGUGUGUUUAUAGUGAGGCGAGAGUAACCAUUGUCUUUUCCGUUAGUGCGUUUUGUUUCACUUUGCUGUGUAUAUAGUGUAUAUAAUGGACAAAUGAGUCCUAAUUUACAACAUCUAGUCUUUCUAGAUGUUAAAGAGGUUGCCAGUGUAUGACAAAAAUAGAGUUAGUAAAUAAUACAUUUUGUACAUUUUGUGUUAAAAUUUCUAGGGAAGAUUGUCUUCUGAAAAUUUGAGCAUUAUAGCCCCCUGGGUAUGAUGGUGGAGAGAAGAGAGGAGAGAAGGGGAGGGUCUUAGGCUAGAAUACUCAUAUUUUGAAGACAAUUUCAAGAUUUUAACUGUUACAUGUGGCAGUUUAUUCAAGACUGCUUUGUAUAUAGUGGACAAAUGAAGUCCUUAUUUGAAACAUCUAGCCCACCUAGAUGUUUAGAAGUGCCCGACGUAUGUUAAAUGUAGAGGUAGUGAAAUACCGCUUUGUAAAUAACUUUUUGCUCAAAUUUGUAGAAGUACUGUCUUUGAGAAUGUUAAAUGUUAAGCCACUCUGAGCAGUAUACUGUUGCUUACAUUUGUUCAGUGGUUUGGAGGAGGUGGGAGGGAAAGAAUUACAAAAGGUAAUAUGCUAGUUGUUUGCACCUGGACAUUUUCAGAUGAAACCAUUUUUUGUAUAUUACGUGCAUUUUGUUUUGCUGUGUAUAUAGUGUAUAUAAUGGACAAAUGAGUCCUAAUUUUGUGACAUCUAGUCUCUAGAUGUUAAAGAGGUUGCCAGUGUAUGACAAAGUAGUAAAAUUAGCCCAUUUUGUACACUUUGUGUUGAAAUUCCUAGGAAUGCUGGUUUUCUGUAAAUGAUUUUUUUAUAUGAAUGUAUUCAGACACCUCUAAGUGUUACACAUACCUGUACUUGUCCACUGGAUUGGUGGUGGAGAAAAGGAAGUGAGGGUGGGAAUGGUUCAGGCCAAAAUGGUCAUAUUUAGGAGAUACCUCAAAUUAUAACCAUUGUUACCUGUGUGCAAUUUUACUUAACAGUACUGUGUAUAUAGUGGACAAGUAAGUUCUUACAUGAAAUAUCUAGUCUUUCUAGAUAUUUAGAAGUGCUUGAUGCAUUUUACAGUAGACAUAGUGUUAUAAUGCUUCUUGUAAAUAGCUUUUUAAAACUGAUGGGAAAUACUGUAAUUGGAAAUGGAAUUGUUAAACCUCCUCUCUGAACAGUAUACUCUGCUUUUUCAUUGGGUUGAGGGAGGUGGGAGGGAGGUUUGCAAAAGAUGUUUUGCUAGUGUGUACUAGAACAUUUCAGCUUACCAUUGCUUUAUAUGUUAAGUACAUUUCAUUUAACUUUACUGUGUAUAUUAUGUAUAUACUGGACAAAUGGGUCCCAAUUUUAUAAUAUCUAGUCUCUAGAUAUUAAAGAGGUUGCCAAUGUAUGACAAAAGUAGGGUUAGUAAACUAACACAUUUUGUACACUUUGUGUUACAAUUCAUUGGAAAGGCUGUCUUCUGAAAAGGACCUUUGAAAGUGAAAUUAUAAUAAAUCACAUCUAAGUGAUACAUGUGCCUGUACUUCCACCCACUGUUGGAUGGAUGGCAAAAAGGAGGAAUUGGAAGAAAUGAAAGGUUCUAGACCAGAAUGUUCCUUUGUAGAAGAUACCUUCAGGUAUAACCAUUGUUACAUGUGUGUAGUUUAUUCAACACUACUGUGUAUAUAGCGGACAAACUUAAGUCCUUAUUUGAAACAUCUAGUCUUUCUAGAUGUUUAGAAGUGCACAAAGUAUGUUAAAAGUAGAGGUAGUGAAAUUUGUAGAUAUAUCCUUUUGUUAAGAUUCAUACGAAAUACUCGUUUAGAAAUGGAAUGAUCAGAAUGAUCAAACCACCUCUCAGAGCAGUACAUAUUAAUUUACUUGCGCUGGUUCAGGGAGAAAGUACAAGGGGGGUUAUACCAGUAUGUUUAUGUUAGGAUGGUUAACCAUUGUCCUGUAUGUGUCUGCGUUUUGGUUUACUUAGCUGUGUACAUAGUGUAUAUAAGGGACAAACGUCCAAAUUUACAACAUCUAGCCUUUCUAGAUGUUAAAGAGCUUGCCAGUGUAUGACAAAAAUAACCAAUAAAUACAUUGUGUACGCUUGAUGUUAAAAUUCAUAGGCAAGAUUUCUGAAAACAACUGGCAGAAGUGAAAUUGUUAAAAUCCCCUCUAAGCAUUAUAGAUGCUUAUUAGACUUGUCCACUGGGUUGAUAGAGAAGGGGAAGGGUCCUUGGCUAGCAUGUUCCUGUUGAGAUGAUACUUUGAGACUAUAGCCAUUGUACACAGUGUAUUCAGUGCUACUGUGUGUAUGUAUAGUGGACAAACUUAAAUCCUUAUUUGAAACAUCUAGCCUUUUAGAUGUGUAAAAGUACACAACCUAUUUUGAAAGUAGAGAGUUAAACACCUUUUAAGUUUUGGGGGUUUUUUUUCUGUUAAUUAAUAGGAAUGGUUUUAUUUGGGUAGUGGGGUUGUCUUGGAGAGUAAGCUGACGCUUACUGGGUGGUGGCGGGGGAGGGGGGGACAGGGAAGGAAGUGCAGAGAGAGAAGGGCUCUGUGCCCAUCAGUCUUCAUAGACAAGUUCAGAUUGUCUACCCGUUGUUCUGUUUGUGCAUUUUAGUUAAUAUUGCUGUGUAUUAAAGAACAAGCAAGUCCUAAUGCCCAAAGUGUAUUAAAAGUAGAGGUAGUAAAAUAACCCCUUAAUGAAUGCCCUUUUGUUGGUUUUUAGGAAGGGCUGUGUCUUCUGGGAGUAUCUAUGUUAAUCCACCUCUUGGAACUAGAUGUAGUCUGGUACUUAGUCGCUGAAAUGCUGGAGGAGUAAGAGGAAGGGUGAGGGGAAGGGCUCUUGGCUAAUAUCUCCCAUUAUCUGGAAGACAGUUUUAGGUUUUAACUAUAGGCCUGUAUGUGCAUUUUUGUGACGUACCUGUGUUUAUUGUGGACAAGCUUCAUUACUUUGCAGCAUCUUGGACCUGGAAUUAUACCUUCUCUGAGAAAUGUACAUCAGGACUUGUUCAUUUAGGUUGGCAGCUGAGGGGAGGAAGGAAGUAUAGAGGGAAGGCUGUAUGUGGAUGCGCUCGCGUUUAUAUUUUGAUGAUAACCAUUGAUGUGUGUGCAUCUCCUGGCUGUCCUAUAGGAAUGCAUUGCUAAAUAAUUCAGCAGAAACAUACCUCCUUGCUAAUACCUUAAUAGUUUAGAUCAGAUGAUGAAUCCUCUUAGAACUAUUAUACUUUGUGUACUCUGUUGCUUUAUGUCUCAUUUUAAUUGAACAUUAAGGGAAUGUAGUAUUUUAAUCAUAGCUCUGCCAAUAUGUUUAUCUAGAGGCCUGUUGCCAUUUUUGUCUUUAAAAUUUUUGUUGCCAAGAAAGGCAAGAUUACAUUUUUUUCCUUCCAGAUUGAGUUGGUGUAGUGUAUUCUUGGUUAUCAAAAUACUCAUAGCUUUGGGACUUUGAAAUGGUAAAUAUUCAUGAUGUGUGAAACAGCAUGAUACAUAACUGUAUGGUCUUAAUUACAUAAAAAUGAAUGCUUAGUUGUGAAAAUACACAAAUGAGACCUAGAAGGAGAUGUCAAACGGUAAACUGCUUGUGAUUAUGAAUGACUUCGUUUUUUGCUUCUUGUGCUUUUUGGUUUCCUAUUAUGUAUAUGUUAACUUUUAAGAAAUAAAUGUUAUUUUAAAAACCUUA